rnacentral:rRNA from 1 species
ACGCUGGCGGUAGGCUUAACACAUGCAAGUCGUGCGAGAAAGUAUCUUCGGAUAUGAGUAGAGCGGCGGACGGGUGAGUAACGCGUAGGAAUCUACCUAGUAGAAGGGGAUAGCCCGGGGAAACUCGGAUUAAUACCGUAUACCUCCUUCGGGAGAAAGAAGGCCUCUCUUUGAAGCUUUCGCUAUUAGAUGAGCCUGCGUAAGAUUAGCUUGUUGGUGAGGUAAAGGCUCACCAAGGCGACGAUCUUUAGCGGGUCUGAGAGGACGAUCCGCCACAUUGGGACUGAGACACGGCCCAGACUCCUACGGGAGGCAGCAGUGGGGAAUAUUGGACAAUGGGCGCAAGCCUGAUCCAGCCAUACCGCGUGUGUGAAGAAGGCCCUAGGGUUGUAAAGCACUUUAAGUUGGGAAGAAAAGUUAUUGGUUAAUACCCAAUAACCGUGACAUUACCAUCAGAAUAAGGACCGGCUAAUUCCGUGCCAGCAGCCGCGGUAAUACGGAAGGUCCAAGCGUUAAUCGGAAUUACUGGGCGUAAAGCGCGCGUAGGUGGUUUAUUAAGUUGGAUGUGAAAUCCCCGGGCUCAACCUGGGAACUGCAUCCAAAACUGAUUCACUAGAGUACGAUAGAGGGAGGUAGAAUUCACAGUGUAGCGGUGGAAUGCGUAGAUAUUGUGAAGAAUACCAAUGGCGAAGGCAGCCUCCUGGAUCUGUACUGACACUGAGGUGCGAAAGCGUGGGUAGCGAACAGGAUUAGAUACCCUGGUAGUCCACGCCGUAAACGAUGUCAACUAGCUGUUGGAGAACUAUGUUCUUCAGUGGCGCAGCUAACGUAGUAAGUUGACCGCCUGGGGAGUACG